AAUGAUGAUGAAAAACUGUUUCGGUCCCAGAUGAUCUCCUGAUUAUACCCAUUGAGAUCACCUAAUGUU